UAGGGGAGGAGCCCAGCGCUGAAUCCCCCAGUCCUGCAGGGCUGGCGGGAAAUGUAGCGUUUAGGAGGGUCGCUUCUCUCGGAGUGCUGCGGCCAGUCCAAGUCCCUCUUGAACGGGGCCACGGUCCCUAGAAGGUGCCAGGCCUGUGGGAUGGUUGCGGCCUCCGAGAAGGCCUCUCCUUUGAGUCGGGUUGCUUGAGAGUGCAGCCCUAAGCAGGUGGUAAACUCCAUCUAAGGCUAAAUACAACCAUGAGACCGAUAGCAAACAAGUACCGUGAGGGAAAGUUGAAAAGAACUUUGAAGAGAGAGUUCAAGAGUACGUGAAACCGUUCGGAGGUAAACGGGUGGAGUCCUAAAGGUCGAAAGAGGGGAUUCAGUAUCCAGUCCACACUGCCACUCUUCGUCGUGGGGUAAACUCGGCGUCGCCUCUCGGGGUGGCGUUGGGCCCUCGGCGGAGUCUCGUGCGCGGGUGGGGGAGCGCACUUCCCCUCGAGUAGGACGUCGCGACCUAUUGAGCGUCGGUCUAAGGCCCGGGUGCGAGCCCGUUCCGCGGCUUGCCGUGGGGCGGAGCCCGGGUGUCCCGGCCGACUGCCUGAUAGUCGAACGUGCGGAAAAGGCCCGCGGGUUUACUCUCGCGCUCGUGCCCCUCGCAAGCGUUCUGUCGAACUCGUCGUACGGACUUGUCCGUCGCGGGCCGGCCGGCGCUGUUGGCGGGGGGAUUUCUCGAGCAGUGGCCUGCUCCUGUUCGCGACGCUAAAACUGGGCGACCCACCCGACCCGUCUUGAAACNCGGACCAAGGAGUCUAACAUGUGCGCGAGUCAUUGGGUACCACUACACCCAAGGGCGUAUUGAACGAAAAGGCCGGCCUUCGCGCCGGCUGAGGGAAGAUGGAGGCCCGCUCGCGGGCCUCCCGCAUUCCCGGGGCGUCUCGUCCUACCUCCGCUUGUCGGUCGAAGGUGAGGCGCACCAAGAGCGCACACGUUGGGACCCGAAAGAUGGUGAACUAUGCCUGGCCAGGACGAAGUCAGGGGAAACCCUGAUGGAGGUCCGUAGCGAUUCUGACGUGCAAAUCGAUCGUCGGAGCUGGGUAUAGGGGCGAAAGACUAAUCGAACCAUCUAGUAGCUGGUUCCCUCCGAAGUUUCCCUCAGGAUAGCUGGCGCUCGUUGAACCGAGUCCCAUCCGGUAAAGCGAAUGAUUAGAGGCCUUGGGGUCGAAACGACCUCAACCUAUUCUCAAACUUUAAAUGGGUGGGAACCGCGGCUUGUUUGAACGCUAAAGCCGCGGACCACGGAUCGGAGUGCCCAGUGGGCCACUUUUGGUAAGCAGAACUGGCGCUGUGGGAUGAACCAAACGCCCGGUUAAGGCGCCCGAACAACGCUCAUUCGAAACCAUGAAAGGUGUUGGUUGCUUAAGACAGCAGGACGGUGGCCAUGGAAGUCGGAAUCCGCUAAGGAGUGUGUAACAACUCACCUGCCGAAGCAACUAGCCCUGAAAAUGGAUGGCGCUGAAGCGUUGUGCCUAUACCGGGCCGCCGGUGGCAGAAGGCGGGUGGCUUCGGCCGCUCGCUGCGAAGCCCCGGUGAGUAGGAGGGUCGCGACGGUGAGCGCUGAAGGGUCUGGGCGUGAGCCUGCCUGGAGCCGCCGUCGGUGCAGAUCUUGGUGGUAGUAGCAAAUACUCCAGCGAGGCCCUGGAGGACUGAUGUGGAGAAGGGUUCCGUGUGAACAGCCGUUGCACACGGGUCAGUCGAUCCUAAGCCCUAGGGAGAAAUCCGAUGUUGAUGGUCGCGGGAUGUUUCACUGCCUUGUCUUGGCUCGAAAUCUUCUUUCCCCGAUUUACAAGUGCCAUGCGUGUGCGUUUCUCCCGAAGAACUUUGGAAGGAGGGACUUCGGUCUCGUCUGUGUACAAGUUCGAUAAGGGAGGUAUUGUGCCGUGUCACUAAAUCGGGGCCGCACUGGCCGUGGCGACGUUUGCCUUUUCGUUUCGUACGGGAUUCUGGAUAGUGGGAGGUGCCCUUUGAGGUAUUGUUCGGUGGAGAGAAAGGAGUUCCCCCUCGGGGAAACUGCCCGCGUAUCUCCGCCGUUCGUUGCGAUCCCCCCCUUCCGUCUCCGUCAGUAGAAACAUCCAAGGUAGCUGGUCGGCCUCGCGUCCCGUAAAGAUGCGCGCGGAAGAGAGUAGGGUCAAUCUCAUGACGAGCGAACUAGCUCCCCGUCCGUCGGGCGAAAGGGAAUCCGGUUCCUAUUCCGGAACCCGGUUGCGGAACCGCACUCACGAUCCUCGUAUUGACACGGUAACGUGAAAGACCCCAGAGAAGCCGUCUGGAGCCCCGGGAAGAGUUUUCUUUUCUGCCUGAGCGUUCGGGUUCCAUGGAAUCCUCUCAAAGGGAGAUAUGGAAUGGAACGCGAAGAGCACCGCAGUUGCUGCGGUGUCCGGGGAGUCCCGUCGGUCCUUGAAAAUCUGGGUGAGGGUCACGUGGAGGCGUCGCACCGGCUCGUACCCAUAUCCGCAGCAGGUCU
rnacentral:rRNA from 1 species